rnacentral:tRNA from 1 species
AAGAGAUAAUGAAUUUAUAAAAACUGCUACUUAAUUAUAAUUGAGGUUAAACUCCGCAAAUCUCUUA